UAAUAAGUGCUCACUCUCUAUCAGCUUCUAUCAUCGGACAACAUAAAGAAAAGACUUGAGGAAUUUCUCAUUGGCCAACAAUAUUUUGUGUUAAAAGGCCAAAACAAGGCCAGCUCUGAUCAUUCAGGAGAAGCAAAAGAUCCAACGAAAGAAGACACAGCCAAAACAAAAAAGGAAUUGCAGUUUCAAGAAGAAUGGCACAUCAUAUUGAGACUACCCAAAUGGAUCAUCAAAUUCCACUUCUUGAUCAAACUUAUGUAAAUGAGGUCUCUCUCUCUAUCUCUCUCACAUCCUACGCUAUACAUCUUUAAUUCAAAAAUAAUUGAAGUCAUAUAUGGUGUCCGUCACUUUAUGCUAUCCUUUAAAAGAUACUCCUUCGGUCCACA